GGCCAAGCAUCCUGUCAUGAGAGCCAGAUAGACUUGAAUUCUAAUUGUGUCACUGCCUUUCUACCUCCCUUUUCUCUUUUGCAAAAUGGGGAUAAUAAUGGUUCUGUUCAGUUGGUAGGAUUGAACGAGAUGGUGCUAGAAGGGCUCGCUUAGCACCGCGCCCUGUGUUCAGACACUGCAGGAUCCAUCAUCAUCAUCCCUGUUGACUCAGGCUAGGCGAACCUCGGCGUCACCAUCCGCAAAAGAGGAACAGUAUCCGCCCUGUACCUUGCUUCAUGGGAUUGUGGUGGAUUUGAAUGAAAUGUAUGCAGAGCUUGCACUGUGUCUGGCACGCUGAGAAUAGCCAAGGACUGUUGUCCUUUAUAUUGUUCUUGAGCCUGUACUGUGCCGGCGUAGGCAGACACCAGGACAUCCUGCUGCCUCUAAUAAUACCGUCACCCCCACGUCCUAGAGCUUUAUGCCUAGAUGGGGUGCAGACUGCACCAAGUCUCCCGUUUUCUCGUUUUCUAGAGAGAACUCGUGCAGUGGGGAUUGCUACUUUCAGAAGGAAACUGGAGAAGGUCGUGAACAUUCACCCCAGUCCUUUUUAUCCAGCGAGAUUCACGCCUGGAAAACUGCUGUCUGGUCAGAAAGACUUUGCUGAGAAGAGCCAAGAGCUGAAACCCAGCCGAGGUGUUUCAGGAAAGAGGAGGACCACACAUCCCCAUUCAUUGACAUGUGACCACAGAGGAUCCCUCCCUGCCACUUCCAGGCUUGGCCAUGUGACCUGCCUUGGCUGGUGGAAUAUGAAUGGAUACGACAGAAGCCAUGUCUCUGCAACUUUGAGAGCAGUUACAUGGCUUGGUUCUGCCUCUUGUUCUUUUCCCUUUGCCAAGAGAACACAAUGUCUUGACUGUGGGCUGCUCCUUCAGCACAUGUCCCAGAACGAGAAGGAGCAUGGAGCAGAGCCACAGUGGCCACCAUGCAGCUCUCAACACGAGCAAGAUUGAAGCUGAUUUUUGUUACUGCAGCACAACUUAGCAAGCUCUGACAAAUACAGAAGGCUCUACUGGACAUCUCGGGGUAUAUCUAUCCAGCUUUCCUUCCUCCCAAAUGGAGACCACAAUGCUGCCACCUACAAGCUGUGUGAUUUUGAGAAAAAUCACAGAACGUCUUGGCCUCAAAUUUCUACACUAACAGACAGAGCUUUCUCCCAGCUUUCUGACCAGCAAUUCUGAAGAACUAGCCUAUCACUUGACACUUGACCCCUGUCGUUCAUGAGUUAUCUUUGCACGUGGUAGUAUCAUACCAGGGAAGUCCCCCCAAAUUUUGAGUCCAACAGCUAUGUAUUCUUGAGCAAAUUGUUUUAUCUCUCUUAUCUGUAAAAUUUUUCUCCUCUAUUAAAGGAAAAUGCAUCACAC
rnacentral:lncRNA from 1 species